rnacentral:rRNA from 1 species
UGGGAAUUUGACGAAUGGGGCAACCGUGAUCCAGCAAUGCCGCGUGUGUGAAGAAGGCCUUCGGGUUGUAAAGCACUUUUGUCCGGAAAGAAAACGUCGUGGUUAAUACCCGUGGCGGCUGACGGUACCGGAAGAAUAAGCACCGGCUAACUACGUGCCAGCAGCCGCGGUAAUACGUAGGGUGCAAGCGUUAAUCGGAAUUACUGGGCGUAAAGCGUGCGCAGGCGGUCCGCUAAGACAGAUGUGAAAUCCCCGGGCUUAACCUGGGAACUGCAUUUGUGACUGGCGGGCUAGAGUAUGGCAGAGGGGGGUAGAAUUCCACGUGUAGCAGUGAAAUGCGUAGAGAUGUGGAGGAAUACCGAUGGCGAAGGCAGCCCCCUGGGCCAAUACUGACGCUCAUGCACGAAAGCGUGGGGAGCAAACAGGAUU